UAGGGCCGUCCGCCGGCAUCGAGGAACCCGAUCCCAUCUCGAACUCGGCCGUUAAACGCACCAGCGCCCAUGGUACUGUGUCUCAAGACACGGGAGAGUCGGUCGCCGCCAGAC
rnacentral:rRNA from 1 species